CUACGGGUGGCAGCAGUGGGGAAUAUUGGGCAAUGGGCGCAAGCCUGACCCAGCGACGCCGCGUGAGGGAAGAAGGCCCUCGGGUCGUAAACCUCUGUCAGGAGGGAAGAAGUGGGUGCCGGUUAACAGCUGGUGCCUUUGACGGUACCUCCAAAGGAAGCACCGGCCAACUCCGUGCCAGCAGCCGCGGUAAUACGGAGGGUGCAAGCGUUAUUCGGAAUCACUGGGCGUAAAGCGCGCGUAGGCGGCCUCGUAAGUCAGAUGUGAAAGCCCUCGGCUCAACCGAGGAAUAGCAUUUGAAACUGCGGAGCUAGGGUUUGGGAGAGGGUGGCGGAAUUCCAGGUGGAGGAGUGAAAUCCGUAGAUAUCUGGAGGAACACCAGAGGCGAAGGCGGCCCCCUGGACCGAAACUGACGCUGAGGUGCGAAAGCGUGGGUAGCAAACAGGAUUAGAUACCCCAGUAGUC
rnacentral:rRNA from 1 species